AAGAAAUAAUCUGUCUUAAUUAAAGGUAUUGAAUUUAACUUUUAAGUGAAAAGGCUUAAAUGAUCUGAAGGGACGAUAAGACCCUAUAAAACUUUAUAUUUAAGAGUAGAAAUUAGUUUUAUUUAAAGGUUACUGUUCUAUAAUAUUUAGUUGGGGCGACAGGGAUAGAAGAAAGAGUAACUGUCUUUUUUUUUUACAAAGAUAUUUGGUUUAAUGAUCCUAAAAUGGAUUAAAGAUUAAGUUACUUUAGGGAUAACAGCGUAAUUUUCUUUAAGAGUUCUUAUCGACGGGAAAGUUUGCGACCUCGAUGUUGAAUUAAAGGUUCUUUAUAGAGUAGAAACUAUAAUAGAAGGUCUGUUCGACCUUUAAAAUUUUACAUGAUUUGAG
rnacentral:rRNA from 1 species